rnacentral:rRNA from 1 species
UACGUAGGGUGCGAGCGUUGUCCGGAGUUACUGGGCGUAAAGAGCUCGUAGGCGGUGUGUCGCGUCGGCCGUGAAAUCCUGCUGCUUAACGGCGGGCUUGCGGUCGAUACGGGCAGACUAGAGUUCGGUAGGGGAGACUGGAAUCCCUGGUGUAGCGGUGAAAUGCGCAGAUAUCAGGAGGAACACCGGUGGCGAAGGCGGAUCUCUGGGCCGAUACUGACGCUGAGGAGCGAAAGCAUGGGGAGCGAACAGG